CGCACAUUGCGCCCCUUGGUAUUCCGGGGGGCAUGCCUGUUCGAGCGUCAUUACAACCCUCAAGCUUUGCUUGGUUAUGGGCCGUGCCGGCAACGGCUGGCCCCAAAAUUAGUGGCGGUGCCAUCGUGCUCUCAGCGUAGUAAUUCUUCUCGCUGUUGGGUCCCGGUGGACGCUGGCCAGCAACCCCCAAUUUUUUAUGGUUGACCUCGGAUCAGGUAGGGAUACCCGCUGAACUUAA
rnacentral:misc_RNA from 1 species